AAGUCGUAACAAGGUUUCCGUAGGUGAACCUGCGGAAGGAUCAUUAACGAAUUCGAACAAAAGCACCCCUCGGCUGAUGCUGGCUCCUCGGAGCACGUGCACGCCUCGGGGCGCCUUCAAUUCGCUUACCCCUCCUUGUGCACUCCAUGUAGGUCGUCGGGGCCGGCGUUGGGUUUUUCCGCCCUCCGCCUCUCUCCGGCGCCUACGACUUUGUCUUUGUACGCGCCCUCAUCGCAUGUAUACAAGUUUUUUUGUAAGCCUUUUGCAUAAUCGGCGAUAACACAAAUACAACUUUCAACAACGGAUCUCUUGGCUCUC
rnacentral:misc_RNA from 1 species